GGGUGCGUAGCUCAGUUGGCUAGAGCAACUGACUCUUAAUCAGUGGGUCCAGGGUUCGAAUCCCUGCGCGCCUA
rnacentral:tRNA from 3 species